ensembl:rRNA 5S_rRNA 5S ribosomal RNA
GUCUCCGGCCAUACUACCCUGAAGGAGCCCGAUCCCGUCUGCUCUUGGAAGCUAAGCAGGGUCAGGCCUGGUUAGUACUUGGAUGGGAGACCACUUAGGAACACGAGGUGCUGUAGGCG